AUGCUCCCCGCCAUGGACGUGCUACUCCCACCCAUCAAUCCACCCAUCCCUCAGCGCUCAUUGCUAGCCAGCCACCCCCAUUACUCUCCACCUAGCUUAACAACCACCGCCGCCGCCGCUGCUAUGGCUUCCAACACCGCCAACGCGGCCUCCGAGGUGAGCAACGCCAUCACCGACCUCAACGACCACCUCGCCACCGCCCUCGGAGCCGGCGACGAGGCCGGCAAGACGACCGUCAUCACGCUGGCGGGGGAGAACAACGGCGCCGUGAUGGACGCGGAGGACCUGGUCGUUGUCGAGGCCGGCGGCGAGGGGGAGGAGGGCGAGGAGGAGGAGGAGGUGCACGUGGCCGCCUACACCAACAGCAACUACCAGGCGGUGAACAACUCGGUGCUCCUCGCCGGCAGCUGCGCCGUCAGGGACCCCGGCGUGCACGUCGUCAUCGUGGAGCACGUCGACGACAUCCGCGACUGCGACGGCGACGAGAUCUUCGAGGACGGUGAGGUGGCCAAGUGA
rnacentral:rRNA from 1 species